GACGCGUUUGGUCAAAAACCAAUUAAUCUGUUGGAAACCGGGUUUCUUUUGGGUUUGAAAACACGUAUUUGGACAAAGAAAAAAUGGCUUCUCGCUGUGAUCUGCGUCUUGUCUCUCUUCUUUGCUGUCGCUCACUCUAAGACGUUGAAGCGAGAUGUGCAUGUGUUGGAUCUUGUGUACAGUGAAAGCUUUGAAUGAAAUCAAAGCCUCUUUGGGGUGGAGAGUGGUGUAUUCAUGGGUGGGUGACGAUCCUUGUGGAGAUGGAGACCUUCCUCCUUGAUCUGGUGUCACCUGUUCUAUUCAAGGUGACUAUAGGGUUGUCGCUGAAUUAGAAGUUUACGCGUUCGAUCGUUGGACCCUAUACAGAGGCGAUCUUCAUAGCCACAACAGAUGGAGCUCCGGCGAUCGCCGUUCAUGUUGGAUGCUGCUCUCCGACUCCCCCUGGUCUUCGGUCUGCAGCAUAGAAGCUGAACCGACAACACGUCUGAGCUUUGGCGAUGGGUUCUUCUUUUCUUUCUCCUCGGGAUUCUACUCUUCAGAUGAGGACGACAGGCAUGUACAGAGGUAACUUUUCUCAUUGUUAUGUGUUGAUAUGGUUAUUUGUUCUGUUUUGUUGCUGUAGUGAUCUAUCAUCUACUGCUUAUGAACUUAACACCAGCUACUGCCUACUACUUUAGUUUUAUAACGUUAUUCUAGUUAUGAAUCGGAUCUAAAGUUAUUCUAGUUUCAAAUUAAAAGUUCCGUAUUUUUAUUUUUCAUUUGAAAUUUUAUCAAAUGGUUCCGCGGCAGAAGUUUGCAACUACUAGAAUAUUUUACUUUUUAGUCAAAUGUUGUUCCCCCUCACAUUCCAUUUACCGCCUAACUUUAGUUUGUUUAGAGAAUAUUAUGCUAGAAAGAUAUGGAUAUAUCCAAUAUCUAGAGGUUUAGAUUUUAUUGUUUUCAUUUAUAUAUACAGCUUAUACGGUGAAGUAAGUAAUUCAGUAAACUUCUGUAAGUAGUUAUUUGAAAGCAACUCAUCUCCAGAUGGCAAAUGAGGGUGAAAAUCAAGGAGCAGCCCAACCUCUGAAUGUCUUAGGUGUUUUUAAUCCUUCCAAAUGAAUGGAUCAUUGUGGUUCAAGUGUGAUUCCCUAAUCACUAAUGAGAUAAGAACAAUCAUCUGAUCUGAUUUUCCUGGCCCGUAUCAAAUUGGUCAACUACGCCGCAACAUGUAAAAAAUCGAUGGUGGUUCACAUUUAAGGUAGGUCACAGAAACUUUACAUAUACAAAAGGAGAAAACCGUGAGAAUAUAUUUCUUGUUUUAUGUUUGUUAUGACUACAGAAACUCUUAUGCCUAGUUUGCUUAGUGAAGUUUCACUCAAUGGUAAAAUGCCUUUUACCAUUGAAAGCCAUUUAGAAAAUGAUGAGCUCAAGAAAAAGGUACAAGACAUAUUUGAAGAAAUCAAAGAAAGGCUGAGCAAGCUUGAAGGCUUGGAGAAGAUGAUUGUGCUCCUUUGUUCAGCCAUUCUAUCCAUGGUGGCAACGACCAAGUUGCUGCUUUUGUUUUUUUCUAACGUUUUAUUAGUUUUUUUCUAUUUUUAAAUGAUUGCUCAUUUUUCUCGAAUAAUGAAUGCGUUGUUGAAUUUUCUUAACAGUUUUGUUUAUUAAAUAAAAUUGGUCAUUUGACU